AGUGAACGCUGGCGGUAGGCCUAACACAUGCAAGUCGAACGGCAGCACAGUAAGAGCUUGCUCUUACGGGUGGCGAGUGGCGGACGGGUGAGGAAUACAUCGGAAUCUACUUUUUCGUGGGGGAUCACGUAGGGAAACUUACGCUAAUACCGCAUACGACCUACGGGUGAAAGCAGGGGAUCUUCGGACCUUGCGCGAUUGAAUGCGCCGAUGUCGGAUUAGCUAGUUGGCGGGGUAAAGGCCCACCAAGGCGACGAUCCGUAGCUGGUCUGAGAGGAUGAUCAGCCACACUGGAACUGAGACACGGUCCAGACUCCUACGGGAGGCAGCAGUGGGGAAUAUUGGACAAUGGGCGGAAGCCUGAUCCAGCCAUACCGCGUGGGUGAAGAAGGCCUUCGGGUUGUAAAGCCCUUUUGUUGGGAAAGAAAAGCAGCAGGUUAAUACCCCGCUGUUCUGACGGUACCCAAAGAAUAAGCACCGGCUAACUUCGUG
rnacentral:rRNA from 1 species